UUAAUUGAAACCAAAAAGAGGUAUAUCACUGUUAAUGAUACCAAUGAGUUUAUUUCUCCAAUUAAA
rnacentral:tRNA from 1 species